rnacentral:tRNA from 1 species
GGCCGGAUAAUCUAAUAAAGAUAUUUCGCUGUAAACGAAACAAUAAGCCACGUAUAACAUCUUUCCAGCCA